UUUGGCAGCAAUCACUUGACAGCUUCCUGUGGUGUAAUUAAAAAAAACAACCCCAAUACGCAGAGUCCAGAGAGCUGUCUUGAGGCAGCAAGCGAAGAGUGGUGGGUUGAAAACACCUGACUGGACUCUUUCUUGUGCCAGAAGAGUCAGCUCUUCCUGCACAAAAGCCUAAAUUUCAAUUUUCACAUAAUUCACAACCCUGGGCAAACCCUGAGAAUCAGAUACUGUUUCCCACAUAAUGGGGGAAGCUGGACUGUGGCAAGACUUGAAGGAUCGACAGACUUGAUAUAUUCCUCAGCUUACAAACCUGGGAUAAACGGAGUCAAGAAGAGUCAGUUCAGGUAAGCUAAAGGAGCACCUGUCCAAGGAGCAUAGCAUGCGGGAAACGUUGGAAGAAUCUCAAGCCGUCCUGCUCUAUCGGAUGGAGGAUAUGGAAGCGACAGUGGAGAAAGAACAGAAACAGUUUGGGAUUUGACAAGCUGAACCUAAGGACAGCCCACUACACACCCCUUGCGGCUGCAAUCGCUUGAAAAGAGAGACUGCUGAGUAUGUGAGGCAAG